UGGUGGUGAAAUGGUAGACACACAGGACUUAAAAUCCUGUGGGAGUAAUCCCGUGCCGGUUCGAGUCCGCCGAGAGACCA
rnacentral:tRNA from 1 species